CUAGCUUGGUGGCGCACUUGGACAAGUUCUUGGUGGGCUAACGUGUACUUUUGAUUUAUCGCUAGACAGAUAAAUACUGAAUCGCAAAGCCCGCUAAUUUAGCGGGCUUUUUUGU
rfam:Vibrio panuliri strain CAIM 703 CAIM703_2, whole genome shotgun sequence.